AUUGAACGCUGGCGGCAGGCUUAACACAUGCAAGUCGAGCGAGCGGCGGACGGGUGAGUAAUGUCUGGGAAACUGCCUUAUGACGGGGGAUAACUACUGGAAACGGUACCUAUUACCGCAUACCUUCCGCUUUUCCCAGGUGGGAUUAGCUAGUAGGUGGGUUAAAGGCUCACCUAGGCCACGAUCCCUAGCUGGUCUGAGAGGAUGACCAGCCACACUGGAACUGAGACACGGUCCAGACUCCUACGGGAGGCAGCAGUGGGGAAUAUUGCACAAUGGGCGCAAGCCUGAUGCAGCCAUGCCGCGUGUAUGAAGAAGGCCUUCGGGUUGUAAAGCACUUUCAGCGGGGAGGCGUUACCCGCACAAGAAGCACCGGCUAACUACGUGCCAGCAGCCGCGGUAAUAC
rnacentral:rRNA from 1 species